CGAUCAGUAGGGGUUCUGAGAGGAAGGUCCCCCACAUUUGAACUGAGACACGGUCCAAACUCCUACGGGAGGCAGCAGUGAGGAAUAUUGGUCAAUGGACGAGAGUCUGAACCAGCCAAGUAGCGUGCAGGAUGACGGCCCUAUGGGUUGUAAACUGCUUUUAUAAGGGAAUAAAGUGAGCCUCGUGAGGCUUUUUGCAUGUACCUUAUGAAUAAGGACCGGCUAAUUCCGUGCCAGCAGCCGCGGUAAUACGGAAGGUCCGGGCGUUAUCCGGAUUUAUUGGGUUUAAAGGGAGCGUAGGCCGGAGAUUAAGCGUGUUGUGAAAUGUAGACGCUCAACGUCUGCACUGCAGCGCGAACUGGUUUCCUUGAGUACGCACAAAGUGGGCGGAAUUCGUGGUGUAGCGGUGAAAUGCUUAGAUAUCACGAAGAACUCCGAUUGCGAAGGCAGCUCACUGGAGCGCAACUGACGCUGAAGCUCGAAAGUGCGGGUAUCGAACAGGAUUAGAUACCCUGGUAGUCCGCACGGUAAACGAUGGAUGCCCGCUGUUGGUCUGAAUAGGUCAGCGGCCAAGCGAAAGCAUUAAGCAUCCCACCUGGGGAGUACGCCGGCAACGGUGAAACUCAAAGGAAUUGACGGGGGCCCGCACAAGCGGAGGAACAUGUGGUUUAAUUCGAUGAUACGUGAGGAACCUUACCCGGGCUUGAAUUGCAGAGGAAGGAUUUGGAGACAAUGACGCCCUUCGGGGCCUCUGUGAAGGUGCUGUAUGGUUGUCGUCAGCUCGUGCCGUGAGGUGUCGGCUUAAGUGCCAUAACGAGCGCAACCCCUCUCCUUAGUUGCCAUCAGGUUAAGCUGGGCACUCUGGGGACACUGCCACCGUAAGGUGUGAGGAAGGUGGGGAUGACGUCAAAUCAGCACGGCCCUUACGUCCGGGGCUACACACGUGUUACAAUGGCAGGUACAGAGAGACGGUUGUACGUAAGUACGAUCAAAUCCUUAAAGCCUGUCUCAGUUCGGACUGGGGUCUGCAACCCGACCCCACGAAGCUGGAUUCGCUAGUAAUCGCGCAUCAGCCAUGGCGCGGUGAAUACGUUCCCGGGCCUUGUACACACCGCCCGUCAAGCCAUGAAAGCCGGGGGCGCCUAAAGUCCGUGACCGUAAGGAGCGGCCUAGGGCGAAACUGGUAAUUGGGGCUAAGUCGUAACAAGGUA
rnacentral:rRNA from 1 species